rnacentral:lncRNA from 1 species
CAUUGCCACAGCUGAGAUGUAGGUCACAGCUGUGGCUCAGAUUCAGCCCCUGGCAUGGGAACUUCCAUAUACCAUGGGUGUGGCUAUAAAAAAGAAAAAAAGAAAAGAAAAAAUAUUUUAUUGAUGUAUAGUUGACUUAAAAUGUAUUAAUUUCUACUGUACAGUGAAGCGAUUGUUACACAUAUAUACAUUAUUUUUCAUUCUUUCCCAUUGAAUAUAGUAGUUCCCUGUGCUAUACAGUUGGACCUUUUGUUUAUCAGUUCUAUGUAUAAUAGUUUGCAUCUUCUAAUCCCAAACUCCCUCCUUACCUCCCCUCACACACCCCCACCCCAAAUGGCAACCACAAGUUCUGUUCUCUAUGUCUAUGAGUCUGUUUCUGUUUUGUAGAUAGGAUCAUUUGUGCUGUAUUUUUGAUUCCACAUGUAAGUGAUAUCAUAUGGUACUGUCUUUCUCUUUCUUAUUUACUCCACUUAGUAUGAUAAUAUCUAGGUCAUUCAUGUUGCUGCAAAUGGCAUUAUUUCAUUCUUUUUUAUAGGUGAGUAGUAUUCUACUGUAUAUAUCACAACUUCUUUAUCUAUUCACCUGUCAAUGGACAUUAAGGACAUUCCAUGUCUUAUGCUGACCUUUAUAUAUAGAAUGGGUCAUCCCAUCUAUUUGAUUAAAAUUCUGUUCGGCUGAGGUCAUCCACUGGUGAACAUUCACAUUAGACACAAUAUCUUAACAUUUAUUUUUCAUUUGUUUGUUUGUUUAUAAAGAGAGGUCUAUCUAUCUGUGUAAUUCCUCCCCAGACUUCUUUGUCAUCGAUUUUCCAAUCAUAUUCCUUCAAAGUCCCUGACAUCCAGCCAAACUAUUUGCCACAGACCAUAUAUUUAUGUCUAUAGCUACACAGUGGACUGUUUUUCUUUCUAAGCAAAAUGAUUGAAGUUCUGUGUACUGGGGGGAUUUUCCUUCACAACUUUCCUUUAGGGUCCUAGAAAGGGACUACAGUAUAGUUGUCCACUUUUGGAUGGUGCCUGACUAUUAUGCAGAGCCACUGGUAAACCAGGUCCAAGUUUUCUCUUCUUCAGUUAAAUGAUCUUAGGGAACACCCCACAAGGAUAUAAUUGAGGCCUAAAAAAGAGUAGGCAAUCCAGCAGAAAUGGGGAUCAUGGACAUUUGGGUCACCUCUUCAUGUAAUUUACCUGUGCCUUCAGGGCCUGCCCAGGCUUGAUCACAUAGACCAGUCAAUAUUUAAUGAUGGAGUGAUACUGGGCAUCCCAGCAUCAUGGCUUGGAUGGAUCAGAUAACUUCUAAUGUGUUAUGGGCAGCUUAAAUCACAUGGUAGCUUUGUGACCCAGGGUUAAACAUUUGGUCAUUACUAAGGCCUGGUAGCAUGCCGAGAGCUAUUUUUCAAAAGAAAAAUGUGUUAUCUGCAGAGUAUGGAAGGGCCUUUUUCCAAAAUCCUAAGGGUCUGUGCUGUGAUUCACUUUCUGGGACCUGACAAAGACUGUAAACAGUGUCUCUAUCUGUCACUGCCUCUUUGAACAUAUGAUCUGAUGAAUCAGAUGGAUCAAGUGGCAAAGAGGAUUGCAGACUGGAGAGCAGAAUGGGCCUAUUGUAGAACCCAUUCUUGUUCUGAGCCUUACUCAAAACUAGUAGCUUUUUGGAUCACUCAUAAAAUAAGCUAGGUGGCAUUCCCAAAGGAGAAAUGUGUUGCCUUCAAAUUCAGAGAGAACCAUUAGGCAUUAUGCCUGUUUUUUUGAUUGUAGGAGGGACUAGAUGCAAUGUAUUCUUCAUCUUCACUGAGGUAGAGAACCCCUGGAUUUUCGUCAGGUAUACUUCUCGCCUUCUAAUAUGCAAAUGCCUUAUGAAUAAGGUGAAAGUACUUACUACCUAUUCCUUAAUAGGUCCAGUUAGCAUAAUGUAAUUAAUGUAAUGGACUGGUGUGAUAGUCUAUGGGAGAGAAAGGUGAUCAAGAUUCCUACAAAAUAAUGACAUGGGGCUGAAGGGUUGAUAUACCCCUGAGGUAGGACAGUAAAUGUGUUUUAGUCUUUCCAUCUGGAAGUGCACUGCUGGUGGUGGUCUUUAUUAACAGAUACGGAGAAAAUAAGCAUUUUCCAGAUCAAUAGCUAUGUACCAGAUAUCAUGGGAUGUGUUAAUUUGUUCAAGCAUUAAAACCACAUCUGGUAUAUCAGCUGCAAUUGGAGUUGCCACCUGGCUAAACUUAUGAUAAUCCGCUAUCGUUCUCCAAGAUACGUUUGCUUUUCUGCACAGGCCAAAUAGUUGAAUUGGGAUGUGGCGGGACUUACCAUUCCUGCAUUCUUUAAGUGUUUGAUGUUGGCAAUCAUCUUUGCAAUCCCUCCAGGAAUGGAGUGUUGCUUUGCUUUACUAACUUCCUGGGAAGAGAGAGCUUCAUCAGCUUCCCUUUGGUCUUUACUGCUGUAAUGUCCCUCAUUCCAUAGGUUAGGGAACCAAAAUAGGGAUUCUGCCAGUUGUUGAGUAUAUGUAUUCAAUCAUGCUGUCUAAAAUGGGAGGAAAAGACCACAGGAUGUGUUUGAGGAUUCCCAGAGCCCAAUGUGAGAUGGACCUGAGUUAAAACUCCAUUGUUUAUCUGACUUUCUUAUGCCUCUACUCUUAGACUGGUAGACCACAGUGACAUUUUGGGUCCCCUGGAAGUAGUAUCAGUUCAGACCAGUGUCCUGCAAUUACCCCCAAAGUAUGGUUUAUUUUCUCUUCUCCAAUGCACAGUAACCCUGAAAAAAGUCCGUAGUCCAUAUAAGAAAAGCUGAAGGAAAGAUUAAUUGUAUGAAUUUCUGGCAGUGUAGCUGAAUCCUUCCUCAAAGUACCCAGGCUUCUUUUAUGCAAGAGGUUCGGGGUCUGUAAACUGGCACAAUUCCAAGAAUAGAUAUGUUGAAGGGUUGUGAUUCUAUUUUUAUAAUUCGAGUUAGACUUCAAUUCACUUAACCUAGAAAUCUUCUGCUUACAUAGAUCAAGUAAGAACUUACUAGACCGCCCAUGUUUUUACUUCUAAGGACACUAUGAUCAUCCAAUCAAUGCCAUAGGUCUCUGUUAGUGAGAUUAUUCUGAUUACUGUUUUGACUUUGCUGUGCAUUAACAUAACUACGCCCACCUCUGCUUUGGUGAUUGAGUGCCCUUAUUUGGCUCUUGAUCCAAUUAUGUCCUUUAUAUCUAGGUUUCAGUUCAAUGGCAGAAGUUCUCACUGCAAUUUCUAUGCUGCAGACAAGAACAACCACAGAGCUCAAUCAUGGAUGCCAGGCUCCCUUCGAAAAUUGCUAUCUCACGGUUGUGGUGACCGAUGUGUCUACUGGACUCUCCUAGAAUGGGUGAGCAGGUUUUACAUAGUAAACCCACUCUAACAUUCCAAUCUUAUGCCAAAGCACAUCACCAUUUCAACUUCAUUUUGUUUAGGUCACCUUUGGGUUCAUGUUUUAGUCAACUAACUAACCAAAUAAUCAGACCUUUUCUAACCUCCCAAGCUACAACAUUAAUCCAGAAUCUGCUUUUAGUGGGCCCGUAGGUGAAAGUUGAGCCUGAUUUAAAUUUCUGUUUCUUCUACCAUUUCCUCACACACUUAAUAUUUAUUUCUACACAUAUCACCUAUAUUUCUGCUGAUAUACAUUUGAAAAAUCACAUAAUUCUUUUGGAGUCUCUGCAUUAGGAAUACUUUAUAUCUUACCUUUGGGGAUCUGCUAGGACUUGAGUCUAAUUAUAGAUGCAGAGCCAAAGAUGAGUAGGAGUGGAUGGGUUCUGAGCAGGAUCAUCCAUGUCUUAUAAGGCAACUCUCUUGAGGGAGGCAUUGCAGUUUCCUUUAGGGAAGCAGAAUUAUCUCAUCAGACUGGAGUGGAGGGGUUCCUUUGACUGGAAAAAUCUCAUGAGAAUUUAUAGAUUCAGUGUCCUUAGAUUCAUCAGAGUCUCCAUGUGUUCAACUCAGGACCAUAUUCCUUCCUAAGCUAUGUCUUCAUUUUAACAGAAUAUUUCCAGAGAAGCUGGAAACUCUGUCUGUGUUAUCAUUCAGCCACUUGCAGGAUGGUUUGGUUUUCAGCAAUCUCAGAUCCACAGCUGCAGGAGAUAAGAACGUCUUUCAGGGCAUACCUACCUAAAAUCUUUUAUGCAGUGCUUGAGCAGGAAAUUUGAACCCCUGAAUUCACACUUUUCUUUUUUCUACUGUAUCCAAUGUAAUUAGGAGCAACCAGUCCAUUUCAUUCUACUUGCUAGUUUGACUGAAUUUUCCAAGCUAUCAAAUACAUGGACUUUCAGAAUCUUGCUUCUUAUAAGUGUUUGAUUAGAAGUCUCCAAUGGUGGCUACUAAUCAAAUGACAUUAAUGCUUUCAUUAUUAUUGGAUGUAGAGUCAUUGCUGCUUUUUUUGUUUGUUUGUUUUAGGACCGCACCCAUGGCAUAUGGAAUUUCACAGGCUAGGGGUUGAAUCACAGCUAAAGCUGCCAGCCUACAACAUAGCCACAGCAAUGAAGGAUCCAAGCUGUGUCUGCAAACUAUACCACAGCUCAUGGCAACACUGGAUCCUUAAUCCACUGAGAGAUGCCAGGGAUCAAACCCACAUCCUCAUGGAUACCAGUUGGGUUGGUUACUGCUGAGCCACAGUGGGAACUCCUGGUGCUUUUUAAAGCUAAUUUAGAGAACAAACUACAGUAGACCUAGAAUCAACUUAGAAAACUCAUCCUUAAGAUUCUGCUCUUCUAGAACCACUCUCAGUACUAAAAUCUUGUAGUCAAGGUUCUCCAAGAAAAAGCCAGUAAGGAGAUCUAUAUGUGUGAUGUAGAGGUAACCAGCUCCUCUUACUUCUCUCUCUUUCUUUUUUUAAAGGCUGCACCCGUGGCAAAUGUAAGUUCCCAGGCUAGGGGUCAGAUUGGAGCUGCAGCUGCUGAUUGACACCACAGCCACAGCAAAACCAGAUCUAGAUACCUCUGUGAGCUACAUCACAGCUCACGGCAAUGCUGGAUCUUUAACCCACUGAGAAGGGACAGAAUCAAAACUCCAACCUCACAGACACUAUGUUGGGUUCCUUAACCCCCUGAACCACAAUGGGAACUCCUCUUUCUCUCUCUUUUAAGGAAUUGGCCCAUGCAGUUUUGGGGCAUGGUAGGUUGAAAAUCCACAGGGCAGACCUGAACACUGGAGAUUUAAGUAAGCAUUGAUGUUUCAGUCUCCGAUAUGAAUUCCACAAGGAAGCAGGCUGGAAACAUGGCAGUUUCUAGGCUGCACUCUGGGGAAUUUCUUCUUUAGAUAGCUUCAGUCAGCUCUUAAGGCCUUCAAGUGAUUUGAUGAGACACACUCAUAUUAUGGAAUAUAAUCUGCUUUACUGAAAGUUUACUGAUUUAAGUGUUAAUUACAUCUAAGAAAUACCUUCCCAGGGACAUCUGGACUGGUGUUUGACCAACAAUUGGGCACAAUAGACUAGUCAAGUUGAUAUAUAAAUUUAUCCAUCGCAGAUCAAAACUAUACCUUUUUCAUUUUUCUACCUCCAGAAUUUUGAGCAGAAUAUGGAAAAUAGUGGGUAUGAAAGACAUAUUUAUUAUUAAUUAAUAAAUAUUCUGUUACCUGCCAACAUAAUGAUAACCUUUUGAGGUAAUGAGUUCCUUGUUUCUAUUUUUAAAGAUAGGAAAAAAUACUCAGUGACCAUCUAACUAGAAUGUUGUAAACUAGGUCAUGUAUGUUAUGAUGUUGCAGUAUGCAGUUCCUAGAAUUAUGAAAUGAAAUCAUUUCUUUCCUCUUUAAAAGAAAGUUUGUGACCACUGGAAACUCCAGGUUGUGAAGAGCUUCUAUUCUUUGCAGGGUAUGAUAGGAUGGCUUUUUUCCCCUUCAUUCCAUAUGUGGCAAAAACUUUAAAAUCUUCAUUACAAAAGAGUAUGAAGGAUGAUGAGAUAGAAAACAAAUUUAGAAGCUAAAAUUAAGGACAAGUUGAUCUCAAACCCCUCACCUGUCUAACUUCUUUUCUUAAGCAAUCAUAUGUUCCCUGUGGGAGCAUAUGUAUGUGGUGUAUGUCUUUUUCUCUCUCUGUACUUUUUUUGAAAACUGUCCAGAAGGGAUGCUGGAAUAGCAAUGAGGAAAAAGUUGCCAAGUUUGGUGAUUCAUUUCUAUGGAGCCUGAGGCCAUUUGUAUCCCAGGAGCCCACAUCAUUUAUGGCUGUUUCUUCACUUCUAUGUAGCUCUUCCUCCAAGAAAUAGAGCCAGGGAGGAUCUGGAGGCAUCUUAUAGAAAUGCAAGGGAAUAAAGAAAUGCAGAGAGUCUCCCUCACCCUCU